GAUGAACGCUGGCGGCGUGCCUAAUACAUGCAAGUCGAGCGAACAGACGAGGAGCUUGCUCCUCUGACGUUAGCGGCGGACGGGUGAGUAACACGUGGAUAACCUACCUAUAAGACUGGGAUAACUUCGGGAAACCGGAGCUAAUACCGGAUAAUAUAUUGAACCGCAUGGUUCAAUAGUGAAAGACGGUUUUGCUGUCACUUAUAGAUGGAUCCGCGCCGCAUUAGCUAGUUGGUAAGGUAACGGCCUACCAAGGCAACCAUGCGUAGCCGACCUGAGAGGGUGAUCGGCCACACUGGAACUGAGACACGGUCCAGACUCCUACGGGAGGCAGCAGUAGGGAAUCUGCCGCAAUGGGCGAAAGCCUGACGGAGCAACGCCGCGUGAGUGAUGAAGGUCUUCGGAUCGUAAAACUCUGUUAUUAGGGAAGAACAAAUGUGUAAGUAACUAUGCACGUAUUGACGGUACCUAAUCAGAAAGCCACGGCUAACUACGUG
rnacentral:rRNA from 1 species